AUUGAACGCUGGCGGCGUGCUUAACACAUGCAAGUCGAACGAAGUGGCGAACGGGUGAGUAACGCGUAAUCAACCUGCCCUUUAGAGGGGGACAACAGUUGGAAACGCCUGCUAAUACCGCAUACUGAAGGAGGGGAUUGCGUCUGAUUAGCUAGUUGGAGGGGUAACGGCCCCACAAGGCGAUGAUCAGUAGCCGGUCUGAGAGGAUGAACGGCCACAUUGGGACUGGGACACGGCCCAGACGCCUACGGGAGGCAGCAGGGGGGAAUCUUCCGCAAUGGACGAAAGUCUGACGGAGCAACGCCGCGUGAGUGAUGACGGCCUUCGGGUUGUAAAGCUCUGUUAAUCGGGACGCGGUACCGGAAUAGAAAGCCACGGCUAACUACGUGCCAGCAGCCGCGGUAAUUC
rnacentral:rRNA from 1 species